UGAACAGGGAAAAGCCCAGCACCGAAGCCUGUGGUCGUUUGGCUGCCAGGCAAUGUGGUGUUUAGGUCGUUCCGCAGAUGCACUGCUCCACCCUAAGUCCAAUAAUGAGUACGGUGGUACGGACAUGGCCCAUUGAGGGUGAAAGGCCCGUGGGGGUGGAGACCAGAACAAUCAGUGCUACUCUGGGUAGACCUUGGAGUCGGGUUGUUUGUGAAUGCAGCCCAAAGUGGGUGGUAAACUCCAUCCAAGGCUAAAUACAAGCACGAGUCCGAUAGCGAACAAGUACCGUGAGGGAAAGUUGAAAAGUACUCUGAAGAGAGAGUAAACAGUGCGUGAAACCGCUCAGAGGUAAACGGAUGGAGUUGAACUGUGAGUUUCGAGGGUUCAGCUGGUGAUAUUGAUUGGGCUUGGCCAGWUUGGUUGGGCUCUGGGGUCUGUUUAGCUACAGGUCCCUGCCUUCGGGUGGGGAUGCGCGAUGCACUCGUUGAGUGUUGCGCGCCCUGGAUGUUCCGAACCUUGUCGCCAGUGCACUCCCUCGGAACGGUCACCACGACCGGCACUGCUGCUUGUCUGUUGCGGUUAAACCGGCUGCGCAUUGUCCUUGUGGCUUUGUGCGGUCGGGAUGGCAGGUAGCCCGUUGAUCUGCUCGCAGGCCUUCGGGUGUAAUCAGCUGACUGCGAUUUGGCUGUGCGGUGUGCCGGGGACGGCGGCUUGAGGUGUGUGCGUGCGUAUCAGCUUGCUGGCGCGUCCGUGUUUGGUUGCUCAGUUGCUCACGUAGUGGGCCAAGCGGCGACUGGGACGUGUGUGGUGGGCGGUUGCGUGCGUGACACUAUUCUUGGGCCAAUAGUCUGUGGUGUUGCGGUAGACUUUCUAUCCGACCCGUCUUGAAACACGGACCAAGGAGAGUAACAUGUGCGCGAGUCAUUGGGCGUUACGAAACCCACAGGCGCAGUGAAAGUGAAGGCUUGGCUUGUCCAGGCUGAGGUGAGAUCCUGUCGUUUCUUACGCGCGGUACCACCAAGCAUCGAGCGGCAGGCGCAUCACCGGCCCGUCCCAUGACUUUGGCAGUUGAUUAUACAGUACAGUCGGGGCGGAGCAAGAGCGUACAUGUUGAGACCCGAAAGAUGGUGAACUAUGCUUGUGCAGAUUGAAGCCAGAGGAAACUCUGGUGGAGGAUCGCAGCGAUUCUGACGUGCAAAUCGAUCGUCAGACAUGAGUAUA
rnacentral:rRNA from 1 species